rnacentral:rRNA from 1 species
GACGAACGCUGGCGGCGUGCUUAACACAUGCCAGUCGAACGGUAAGGCCCUGCUCUUGCGGGUUGCUCAAGUGGCGAACAGGUGAGUAAAACGUGAGUAUCCUGCCCCUGACAUUGGGAUAACUUCAGGAGAAUGGGUCGCAUAUCGGAUAUGAGCUCCUGCGGCACGGUGGGGGUUGGAGAGUUGCGGCGGUUGGGGAUGGACUCGCGGCUCAUCAGCUUGUUGGUGGGGUAGUGGCUUAACAAGGCUUUGACGGGUAGCCGGCCUGAGAGGGUGACCGGCCACAUUGGGACUGAGAUAGGGGCCAGACUGCUACGGGAGGAAGCAGUGGGGAAUAUUGCACGAUGGGCGGAAGCAUGAUGGAGGAACUCCGCAUGGGGGAUGACGGCCUUCGGGUUGGAACCCGCGUUCGCGUGGGACGAAGCGUGAGUGACGGUAAUGGGUAAAGAAGCACCGGCUAACUACGUG